GGCGGACGGGUGAGUAACGCGUGAGCAACCUGCCUUUCAGAGGGGGAUAACAUUUGGAAACAGAUGCUAAUACCGCAUAAGAUUACAGUACCGCAUGAUACAGUGAUCAAAGGAGCAAUCCGCUGAAAGAUGGGCUCGCGUCCGAUUAGAUAGUUGGUGAGGUAACGGCUCACCAAGUCGACGAUCGGUAGCCGGACUGAGAGGUUGAACGGCCACAUUGGGACUGAGACACGGCCCAGACUCCUACGGGAGGCAGCAGUGGGGAAUAUUGCACAAUGGGCGAAAGCCUGAUGCAGCAACGCCGCGUGAGGGAAGACGGUUUUCGGAUUGUAAACCUCUGUUU
rnacentral:rRNA from 1 species